UGGGGAAUUUUGGACAAUGGGCGAAAGCCUGAUCCAGCAAUGCCGCGUGUGUGAAGAAGGCCUUCGGGUUGUAAAGCACUUUUGUCCGGAAAGAAAUCCUUGGCUCUAAUACAGUCGGGGGAUGACGGUACCGGAAGAAUAAGCACCGGCUAACUACGUGCCAGCAGCCGCGGUAAUACGUAGGGUGCAAGCGUUAAUCGGAAUUACUGGGCGUAAAGCGUGCGCAGGCGGUUUGCUAAGACCGAUGUGAAAUCCCCGGGCUCAACCUGGGAACUGCAUCGGUGACUGGCAGGCUAGAGUAUGGCAGAGGGGGGUAGAAUUCCACGUGUAGCAGUGAAAUGCGUAGAGAUGUGGAGGAAUACCGAUGGCGAAGGCAGCCCCCUGGGCCAAUACUGACGCUCAUGCACGAAAGCGUGGGGGAGCAAAACAGGAUUAGAUACCCUGGUAGUCCACGCCCUAAACGAUGUCAACUAGUUGUUGGGGAUUCAUUUCCUUAGUAACGUAGCUAACGCGUGAAGUUGACCGCCUGGGGGAGUA
rnacentral:rRNA from 1 species